CCCUCCCCGCUCCCCCCACCAGGCAGUAGGGCUCCCGCUCUCCCACACUCUCCCUCGCUCUCACAGCCAGUUGCUGCAGCAUCCUCAUUCGGCCUCUUGCCACCACCGUGUUCGGAACGCUGUAGUCUUCUCUCUCACGUCCUGACCCAAUCCAGUGCCUAACAAUAGUCGGAUUUGAGAAAAAAAAACAGUAGUAGAUAAUUAGUAGUUACUCAGAGAUAUAUAUACUAGGCAAAUGUUCUAUCACCCAGGAAUUAGAUAGAGCAGAUUACGACAUUUACCAAGAUCACUUUCCUCACAGUGGCUGCAUUAAAUACGGACACAACUCCAGUUUCGGGAUGUAUGAAUUAACACUUCACCAAGACUGAGAUAAAUGUGCCAGUCCAAGAAAAUAUCGAGUGUAGAGAGAUAACACAAUAGGAAGAGAGAGAGAGAGAGUGGGGACAACAGUUGACACAAGCUACGCGUCUACCCUACUCAUCAAAAUUUCAGUGUUGGGAUUUGGGUGUGAGACGUGUUGCAUGUGCUUGGAAAGAGGCCCAGUCAGUCAGCAAGGGCUAAUGUGUGGGUGACAGAAGUAUGUUAACUGUAACUGUAGAAAACUGUGCUUGAUACUCGGACAAGAACUGAGGGAAAAGAAGGGGAUAAUAUUAAAAAGAAAGUCGAAAAUCUUGGCGUUUAGUGAGAUAGAGAAACGUUGACGUUAUAGACUAAUGUGUGUACAAAUGUGUUGAAAUAUCCUACUUAUGCUACCAAAAGAGGGGAACAGCAGUGAGUGUCUCUCUCAGGACCAGCAGACAUAACCUCUGCCUCGUGGUGCCCCUCCGUCCGUCCACUGCCUCAGAUCGUGGAGUCCACUACUCAAAGGUGGAUUUCACGUUCAGUCACGGAGAAAAUAAGGAUCUCAGAGUCGGUUCCCACGGCUUCAGGGCCAA